UUUAUAUAGUUUAGAAAAAACACUAGAUUGUGAUUCCG
rnacentral:tRNA from 1 species